rnacentral:sRNA from 1 species
GGGGCGGGCCUUUCAGGCAUCCUCUCCUAAAACUUUCAGGGCUGAUCCUCACGGAUCGGCCCUUUUUUUAAUGAUUG